AUGAGAUUGAGUGAUAUCAUGAAUUCUUGGCAUGUGACCCCGAAAUUAAAGGAGUUUGGAAGCAGUGCACCAGUCAUACCUACCCUGGCUUUCAAGCUGGCAUUCAUCACUCGAAGGUGGAAUCCUAGUGGACUCUUUCCAGGCUGGCAUGUUUGCAAGACAAUGUUCAUCACAAGAUCUUCACAACUACUGGACAUAAGUCACAGCACAACAUCAUCACUGGAUCACAUAAGCUCCCUGGAUCUACUGUUAAAAUAUUACAUGGUAGCUAAUUGCAACAAGGAUUUUCUUAAUGCAGUUUUUGUCUUCUCUAAUGUGUACAAAGUACAGUGUCAUGGCCAGUAAGCUAUAUUGCUGGAGCUUCUGAAAACCCAGGAAUUGUUUGGACAUCAUUGGAAAAAGAAAACUAGAAGGAAAGGAAAUAAAAGGAUAAUGAAAAGAGGAACUUGAGAUGAC
rnacentral:lncRNA from 1 species